UGGGUUGGACAACAUCUCAGCUUCCUCUCCCUCAGUGUUAAACAACUCUCUACUAUUUCUGUUAUUCAAUUUCUUCUCCUGAUAAACAAGUAAACUAUGAAGUUGAAUAAGUG